rnacentral:rRNA from 1 species
UACGUAGGGGGCAAGCGUUGUCCGGAUUUAUUGGGCGUAAAGAGCGUGUAGGCGGUUUGGUAGGUCCGUUGUGAAAAACUCGAGGCUCAACCUCGAGACGCCGAUGGAAAACCAUCAGACUAGAGUCCGGAAAGAGGAGAGUGGAAUUCCUGGUGUAGCGGUGGAAUGCGCAGAUAUCAGGAGGAACACCGGUGGCGAAGGCGGGGUCUCUGGGGCAGUAACUGACGCUGAGGAGCGAAAAGCGUGGGGGGAGCGAACAGG